UCCCUGGCAGUCCAAUGGUUAAGACUUUGUACUUCCAAUGCAAGGGGUGCAGGUUCGAACCCUAGUCAGGGAA
rnacentral:tRNA from 1 species